rnacentral:rRNA from 1 species
CUACGGGGCGCACCAGUAGGGAAUUUUCGGCAAUGGGCGAAAGCCUGACCGAGCAAUGCCGCGUGAACGAUGAAGGUCUUCGGAUCGUAAAGUUCUGUUAUAGAGGAAGAACACUUGGUGUAGGAAAUGACACUGAGCUGACGGUACUCUAUCAGAAAGCUCCGGCUAACUACGUGCCAGCAGCCGCGGUAAUACGUAGGGAGCGAGCGGUAUCCGGAAUUAUUGGGCGUAAAGCGUGCGUAGGCGGUUUACUAAGUCAAAUCUGAAAGCCCUCGGCUUAACCGAGGAGGGUGAUUUGAAACUGGUAGACUUGAGUACGGCAGAGGUUAGUGGAAUUCAAUGUGUAGCGGUGGAAUGCGUAGAUAUAUUGAGGAACACCAGUGGCGAAGGCGGCUAACUGGACCGGAACUGACGCUGAGGCACGAAAGCGUGGGGAGCAAACAGGAUUAGAUACCCUAGUAGUC